AACGUAGGAGACAAACGUUAUCCGGAGUUACUGGGCGUAAAGGGCUCGUAGGUGGCCAACUAAGUCGGACGUGAAAUCCCUCGGCUUAACCGGGGAACUGCGUCCGAUACUGGUUGGCUUGAGUUUGGGAGAGGGAUGCGGAAUUCCAGGUGUAGCGGUGAAAUGCGUAGAUAUCUGGAGGAACACCGGUGGCGAAGGCGGCGAGCUGGUCCAUUACUGACGCUGAGGCGCGACAGCGUGGGGAGCGAACAGG
rnacentral:rRNA from 1 species